GACAAUGGCCAUAUCACCCAGAACGUGCCCAAUCUCAUUGACCUCAGAAACCAAGAAGGGUUGGGCCUGCUCAGUACUCGGAUGGGGACAUGCAACAUGAAUCCCCAACCCAUGUGACUUUAAGCACGAUGGUCU
rnacentral:rRNA from 1 species